UACGGAGGGAGCUAGCGUUGUUCGGAAUUACUGGGCGUAAAGCGCACGUAGGCGGCUUUGUAAGUUAGAGGUGAAAGCCUGGGGCUCAACUCCAGAAUUGCCUUUAAGACUGCAUCGCUUGAAUCAUGGAGAGGCGGGUGGAAUUCCGAGUGUAGAGGUGAAAUUCGUAGAUAUCGGGAGGAACACCGGUGGCGAAGGCGGCGAUCUGGGUCGAUACUGACGCUGAGGUGCGAAAGCGUGGGGAGCAAACAGG
rnacentral:rRNA from 1 species